UCCUCAAAUGCUGCCAACCUUUCAAACAAAGAACCACAGCCCUAAAAUUAAAAUUGCUAGGGUUCUUAGCAUCCGCCGGAUUCACCAUUUCGUUUGGUAAUCGACGAUAUACCACAGUAACUAGAUCCAUUUCACACCCAUGAAAAUGCAAACGAAAUUAAAAAAAUGAACCCGAAUUCAACAAUGUUCGACCCUCGCACGUAUCCAUAUAUGAGGUUUAGGCUUUCAUCAGCGUCGAUUCAGGUUCUACAUAUGCAAAGCUGUACGGGGAAAAGGCCGUGGAGGCCGUGCGUGGGAACCACUCGUGGGAGCCCCAUUCUGCUGCUACUCUCGUGUAUUCCAGAAAUUUCUGGCCUGGGCUCUAUGGGUUUACCUCGAAUGGCUACGAGGGAGGGCUACUGCUGCAGCGCUGGUCAGUCAACUGGGGUUUUUAGAUUGGGCCUUUUCCGGGCUAGGCUUUUAGUCUCAAAUUUGGGGCCCAAAAUUUUGUAAAUGAAUUUGGAUUUAAUUUAGGCCUGAAGUUUUGUACAUAGAUUAGAUCUGUGUUUUAAUAUUUGGGCUGAAUUGUAAAUAAACUUUGGACCUAUAAUCUAUGGACUUUAUUUGGUUUUUUAUUUCAA